rnacentral:sRNA from 1 species
GACAGAAAGGCUGAUGGGUGGACGAUGCGUAACUAAUCUUGUUUUAGCGGCUGAAAUUACAGAUUUCAACUCACGCGAAAUAGGAUUAGUCUGCCCACCUGCAACAACUGUCGAGCCAUUGUACGUUGAUGGCUUAUUUAGAACGGGCACGAUACGGCUAAUCCUUCCAAAUUUAUUUGGGAGGAUUUUUU